GGAGGCGUCCAGGACCUGACGGUUGCUAAGGUGACAGAGAUACAACAUGGCGGCCGGGCCCUAACGUUUUCUGUCGGGGGGCCAGCGCGGAGGUCCUAGCUCGGGACCCUGCCUCAGAGGAGUGGAAGCCAGGGGGCCGUCCUUUCUGCCCCUUUCUUCUCCGUCCAGUGUCGGCAAGGGCUUGUCGUCGGCUUCCGAAUCCAGGAUGAAGAACUAUAAAGCAAUUGUCAAAAUAGGAGAGGGAACGUUUUCUGAAGUUAUGAAGAUGCAGAGCCUGAGGGACGGAAGCUACUACGCGUGCAAGCAGAUGAAGCAGCACUUUGAAAGGAAGAAAUGACCUUACAGUUUCUAGAAGAAAGUUCGAGAAGAAAAACGACUGCUUUGGGGGUCAUUUCUAGGACAGAGAUUGUGAAUAAUUUGUGGGAUGCCCCAGUGGCGCUGAUUCUUGAUCCACAAGUUUAAUGUUGUUCUUUUGUUUUUUUUUUUAACCAUGAAAAUAAUAUCUCUAGCUUUUGGAGUCCUGGAGUAUCUAUCAGCAUUAUUAAACAAUUUAAUCUUAUUCACUUGAAGAAUAAUUUUAGGUUCUUUA